rnacentral:lncRNA from 1 species
CUGUAUCACCGUACUGUGGGUUCUGUGGUGGCCCAUUUUAAAACAAGUGCACAGCUGCAACAGCAACUUGUGCCUGCAGGACUUGGAAACUCAAUUGAACUAACACACUCCAACAGCUCUGUGUAGAGGGGUGAAACAGAGAAAGGGUGACCGCUACUUUCAGAAUGGAAAUGAACCUGCAAUCACAGUGGUUCCUUAGGCAAAUCUGAAGCCUAGAGUUGAAAUAAUUAGGCUCUCUGAAGAAUAGCUCUCACUCUAUGUGACAGUCACAGCCUUAAUCUGCUAAUUUGUUGACAGGUAAUACCACUGAAGAGCUGACAUAUAUGUAAAAAGAUAAGUACUGUAUUUAUAAAGAAUAACGGAGACAAUAUGUCAUUGUAAGGAUUAUACUGAUUGACUCAUACUAGAAACAAUAAAUUAUAACAUCAAUACAUCUAAUUUGAAGAAGUGUAUUUUGACAUUGAUGGUUCUUUGGGCAUGUGUUGAAUUACUUGUUUGAUUUAUUUUAUUCACUCUGAAAUGUGUGCAUUAAAAUUGUGUCUAGGUGUGUAUGUGUUUGAAUUUUGGGGGAAUAGCAUCAUUUUUAUUCUAUUGUUCAGUACUCUCUCUUUUAGACACUAUAUAUAUAUAUAUACCUUUUCAAUAAGUCUUAUAAUACAAACUGCACAGUGUUGGUACUACAAAAUACUGCAAAUAUAGAAAUCAAGGAUGUGGGAGUUCCCUUCUUGGCUCAGAGGUUAAUGAACUUGACUGGGAACCAUGAGGAUGUGGGUUCCAUCCCUGGCCUUCCUCAGUGGGUAAAGGGCCCGGCAUUGCCAUGAGCUGUGGUGUAGGUUGUAGAUGCAGCUUGGAUCCUGCAUUGCUGUGGCUAAGGCAUAGGCCAUUGGCUGUAGCUCUGAUUUGAUCCCUAGCUUGGGAACUUCCAUAUUCAGUAGGUGAGGACCUAAGAAGCAAAAAAAAAAAAAAAAAAAAAAAAAAAGAUUAGACAUCGAGGCUCUGAAAUUAGGUAACAGUAAAUAUUAUACUAGGAUUGAGAACCCAUGUCUGUUUGCAUGGAAGGCUUUUUUUUUUUUUUUUAAUAAAGUACCUUAUUGAAUGAUUCAUUGGUCAAUUUUUGUGAGUUUAAAGAAUAAAAUUUGCAAGAUCCAAAGCUGAAUUUCUUUCUGCAAAAUUAAUUGCCACUUGAAAACACUUACUUUGAUUUCCUUUUAAAGAAGAAAGGACUACAAAUGUAUCACAUAGUUUUUAAUCUUACCAAAACCUUAUGUAUAAAUUUUAAAAGUUACAGGGCAAGGGUGUAUUUUCCACAGUGAACUCACGUAGUAAAUGUUCUCAUCAGAACAGUAGACGAUAAAUUAUAUUAGGAAGUUGUCUCUGAGUAGGCAGCUCAAAUUAUUUCAUUUAAGUAGAGACCCACAUUUGAGAAUAAAGAUUUUAAUUAGUCUCCUAGUUAAUGAGUUUCUAGAUUCUGUGGGGAUCCACACCAAGUUUCAAGGGAAACCGGUUUGUUCAAGAGGAGAUAAAUCUGCAGCAGGAGAAGGAAAAGAACAGAGUGGCAGAGUGCUGUUACAUGUACGAAAUGAGGCCUUCCUGUUUCUCCCAAAUUCUCAGUAAAAUCUAGAAUAGAUGAGAAAUAUGUUUUACAUAUAUGGAUUUCUUACAAAAACCAGUGAAAGACAGAGUCAUUGAUGUGGGUUAAAUAUGCACAAAUCAGAGAGAACAUGUGUGGAGAAAAGGCAAAAUUCCUCCCCAGGUAAUAGAUGGUUUGGAAGCAAUUCGCCAUAGACUCUGCAGGAAACUGUCAAUUUGAUGGCCUUGGCUACAAGGUCAUUCGUGAUCUAGGCCACAUUCGACCUUCCCUUUUCUUUUACUUACUUUGCUUUUCACACUAAACCCCAGACGCUGAACCCUGUCUUGAUGAGAACUGCCUUCGUCUUUCAGGCCCCCAAGGCUUUGUUCAAGAAGCCCCCUCUUGUGAAUUUCCAUCUCCCUCCCAGCAGCCCUUUCCCUCAUUGCUUCCCCAGAAAGAUUUCUGAUUAUCCUUCUAAUUUCAGCUUUUCCUGAGUGCCAAGUUAUUGCUGCACCUUCACUUGGGGUCCUGUCUUAUUCUGCAGUUAGCAUCUACCAUCCAAUUUUUAACUUAUAUUUUUAUAAGUUACUAGCAGCCUAUCUCCCUGACUUGAAAAUGAAAUCUCCAAAUCAGGGUUCUGUAUUAUUACUUACGCAACCUUCCAUUGACAUAGUAGGAACUUUAAAAUGUGUUCAGUAAAAGAAAGUGACUUAAAGAAUUACUUUUUUUUUUUUCCUUGAGAAUGUCUAAACAAUGAAUUUACUCAUGUGUCGGAAACAAUAUAUGGUAUGCUAGUGAAUAAACCUGUCAAAAAAAAGUAACAUUCUUUAUGGCACACUUCCUCAUUUUGUUAAAAUGUUACUCUAUAUGAUUUUCUUCUAAUUUUAACUACUGUCUAUUUUUUUAUGCAAUUGAGAAAAUAUCUCAUAGAGCUUUUCACAUAUUAAGCUGGGGCAUUCACAAGGACAAUGAAACCAAAUCAGUAUGAUUUCUUUUGGCAAUAUUUCAUAAAUAAAUAGUAGAGAAAUUCCAGAGUGACGAGAUCCUUAUUGAUUGCUGAAUGCCUUGAGGGGCGCAUACAAAAUAUGGUUUCAGUGGUUUAUACUGACUUUGAUGUGACCUACAGUUUUCUGUAAGUGCUCUAUAUGAAUGUGCUUAUUGUGUCUAAGCUGUUUCUUCCUGUACUAUAGGAAGCAUUGAGGGAAGAGAGAGAAAUUUCUCAAUUAUGUAUUUACAGUGCGAUGGCCACAUUUUUUAAGUAACUCCCAAAGACACAGGUAUCGUAAGAUUUACUUUACACUUUUUUUUCUACUUCUUUAUUUGCUUCGAGGUUCCAAUCCCUUCCAGCUUGCCUUUCCUUUCUUGCUUGAUUGGAAAGAAAACACUGGCACAUUAGAGAUGGACACCUUUGGAAGGCUGUGUAAGCGAGUGACCCUGAGAUACAGAGACCGGAGCGAGCAGAUGGUCACAUCACAGGCCGUUUUCCAGAGUGCUGAAGAAUGUAACAGGCGCUGAUUUUACCCUAUUCUGUGUUGGACUCUUAACUCUCUGAGAAAACUUUGACCUGCCUUCCAAGAAGGGCGAUAGUGUCUCGGAAGCACGGCCCUUGUGGUUUCAGGCUCCUUCUGGGCCCUGCCUCACACUGUUUGUGGGGGGGGAGGUAGGGAGGUGUCUCAAAAUCUGAUGCCUUGAACAGCUGCAUCAGAAUUGCCUGGGGAGUUUGGUUUAAAUGCAAAUUUGGGGACUUACAGCAAUUAAAAGGCAGUCUCUGGCUUUGAGCCCCAGAAUGUAGCUUUUUAACCGUCUCCUUGAUGACUUGUAUGGUUGAACAACUGCUGCUUUACCAGCACUGUUGCAUGAGUGUAAUGAUACCUCUUCAUGUUCCUGCUCUUUGCUCAUGACCAAGCUAGUAUCACUUAUUUUCUAGUUAAUGUCAUUAUGUAACUAUAAAAUUCUCCUAAUAUAACAUAUAUGAAUGUACGUGAUAUAGCUUAUAAAU